rnacentral:tRNA from 1 species
GGGAGAUUAGCUCAGCGGUAGAGCACCUCGUUUACACCGAGAUUGUCGGGGGUUCGAUCCCCUCAUCUCCCA